GAAGGGAUCGGAGAAGUUAAGAUAGAAUCAUUCGUUAUUUAUCUCACAUUGUAAGAGCAACGUGGGAGUUUAACUAUUUGACCAAGGAGUUUGUAUAAUUCAUGAAUCAAAAUGCAUUUCAUUUUAACAUUGAUACAGUAACGGAUUGGAGAGUAAAGCAUUUGUUUAUUGUAGUGUUUGCAGUUUACUUGUUUUUAAAGACAUUGUGGAAAAAUCUGUCUGUUUUGCAGAUGGUGCUGUGCUCCCCCUCGUGGGAGGACUGACUGUAGUCAGGCCUAAUGUGAGUCAUUCACCUGACGCAAACCAGAAUCAGCUGGCAGACCAUUCUAUUUUCCACCUAAUAGUCUUGUGUUGUGUACAUCAGUUUGUAACUGCUCGAGUUCAGGGGCGGACUGACCAUCUGGCAUUUUGGACAAAUGCCAGAUGGCUGGUCCGAUUUUAGCCUAACUUGUUUUUUUUUCUUCACAAAAUUCUCAUUAUCUGGCUAAUAGUGGGUGCUGAUGGGAAAAUAGGCCGUGUGGGGGACUCUUGGGAAAAAAAUUGGCCGUUGUGUGUCCCUCAAGGAAAAAUAAUGGGCCGGUAUGUUAGAAAUGCCAGAGACGAUUUCAGGUCCCAGACCGCUCCUGCUCGAGUGAAUUGCCUUCCCCUUUCCAUGUCAUUUGUUGUCACUGUAUUGACAUUUAGGCCCUCUUUUUGGCAAUUAACUUUUAUUGCUGCUAAUAAGCUUGCCCUACGGUUCGGGUUAGGGUUGUGGUUGAGUCUAGGGUUAGGGUUGAACUGGGAUGUGGGCAUGAAGCUAGGGUUAAGGUUAGGCUUAGGGUUAUGGUUAGGGUUAGAUACAUUUAGAUAGCUGCAUCAAACUCUCCUGUCCUUAGCAAGGUGAGCGCAAAGAGCUUUAGACCAUUCCGAUGACUUGAUUGCAAACAACUUUUGAUUGGAAAACAGACACGGAGAGAAACACAGGUAUUAUGUCACUUGUUUUACUACACAGAAAGUGGCUUGUUGCACCAUAUCAGCUAAAGAAUGAUGUUACAACCAUCAAUACUGUGUUCAACUAGUAUCAACGAAUACCACAUCAGAGGUUAUUGUACAGUAGAUAGCACACUUUGGGCGACAUUUUCUAUCUCUUCAACAGCAUUAAAAUACCUUAUUCCUCGCAAUGUAGUGUGAAUAGCGUUGUAAAUCUGUCUGUUUUGCAGAUGGUGCUGUGCUCCCCCUCGUGGCUUUACUGACUGUUACAAUGUCUGUAAAACGCCUUUCAACUGUUAUCGUUAUGUAGGGGAGCUUUGUGCUUGGAGAGGGCUGUUUCGCCGUCAGAAACGGUGGGAGGGAACAGUCAAAGGUCACGGAGACGUUAACCCUGUAUUGUUUUGGCACUACUGUUGGAAAUGCUAUCACACAGGAGAACGAUAUAGCAAAAACAUCGAAGAGCAGAAGUACAGUACCUUAUAAUCCAAUACAUAAAUAACACAAGGUGAACCAGUCACCUAUUGUGACCUCUACGUCCCACAUCUUUCCCGGUGUGUCUUAUGACCACUGUCCACACUGCUACUUCCAGCAAGAGAGAAAUAGAUCAAGAAGAAGAAGAGGUCAAGUGAGAGAGCGAGAUGGAAGAAGGGAGAAGAGUGAGAGAGAUUGGGAGAUGGAGAAAGGGGAGAGAAACAGAAGCAGGACAGAGAGAGAGCGAGAGAGGGGAAAGAGAGAGCUUAGGUGAGAGAGAAAGAGGCGGAGGGAGAAGAGAGAGCUAGGUGAGAGAGAAAGAGGCGGAGGGAGAAGAGAGAGCUAGGUGAGAGAGAAAGAGGCGGAGGGAGAAGAGAGAGCUAGGUGAGAGAGAAAGAGGCGGAGGGAGAAGAGAGAGCUAGGUGAGAGAGAAAGAGGCGGAGGGAGAAGAGAGAGCUAGGUGAGAGAGAAAGAGGCGGAGGGAGAAGAGAGAGCUAGGUGAGAGAGAAAGAGACAGAAGAGAGAGAGAGAGAG